CGCGUAGGGGGCGAGCGUUGUCCGGAUUUAUUGGGCGUAAAGAGCUCGUAGGCGGUUUCGUAAGUCGGAUGUGAAAACUCCAGGCUCAACUUGGAGACGCCAUUCGAUACUGCGAUGACUUGAGUCCGGUAGGGGAGUGUGGAAUUCCUGGUGUAGCGGUGGAAUGCGCAGAUAUCAGGAGGAACACCGAUGGCGAAGGCAGAUCUCUGGGCCGUAACUGACGCUGGAGGAGCGAAAGCAUGGGGAGCGAACAGG
rnacentral:rRNA from 1 species